AUUGAACGCUGGCGGCAGGCCUAACACAUGCAAGUCGAGCGGAUGAAGGGAGCUUGCUCCUGGAUUCAGCGGCGGACGGGUGAGUAAUGCCUAGGAAUCUGCCUGGUAGUGGGGGAUAACGUCCGGAAACGGGCGCUAAUACCGCAUACGUCCUGAGGGAGAAAGUGGGGGAUCUUCGGACCUCACGCUAUCAGAUGAGCCUAGGUCGGAUUAGCUAGUUGGUGGGGUAAAGGCCUACCAAGGCGACGAUCCGUAACUGGUCUGAGAGGAUGAUCAGUCACACUGGAACUGAGACACGGUCCAGACUCCUACGGGAGGCAGCAGUGGGGAAUAUUGGACAAUGGGCGAAAGCCAGAUCCAGCCCUGCCGCGUGUGUGAAGAAGGUCUUCGGAUUGUAAAGCACUUUAAGUUGGGAGGAAGGGCAGUAAGUUAAUACCUUGCUGUUUUGACGUUACCAACAGAAUAAGCACCGGCUAACUUCGUG
rnacentral:rRNA from 1 species